rnacentral:lncRNA from 1 species
GGCAUCUGCUUCUGGGGAGGCCUCAGGAAGCUUCCAAUCAUGGCGGAAGGCGAAGGCCAAGCAGGCACAUCACAUGCCCCACAGGUUACUUUCUACUGGAGAAGCUGAGCCUUCAAAGUGUGCAACUUUCCUUUUGUUCUAUCAAGUGAGAGGUGGUACUCAAUCUGGUUUUCCUGGAAAUGCUCUUACAAGCCAGAUGCAGG